GCGGCCGUAGCUCAGCGGGAGAGCGCCCGGCUGAAGACCGGGCGGUCCCGGGUUCAAGUCCCGGCGGCCGCACCA
rnacentral:tRNA from 3 species